GAUGCAGGGCAACAAAAACGCCUGCUCUAGAGGAGAUGUUCAAAUCUGACAUUAAGGAACUGUGUCUUGGCGUGUAAACUUCUAGAGGAAAUAAUGCUGUGCCCACAUCUUCUGCCCACACAGUGUCACGCAUAAAAGGAGCAGUGACUCCACGGUGCUCUUAGGAGGAAACCGGUACCCGGCUCCUGAAUAUCAGAGAUGGAUGGACUGUAGCCCAAAGACUUGACCUUCCAAAUGCCAGCGGCUCUUCCCUACCACCAUUUCGGAGCCUCAGCUGCUUCAUACGGCAAAAAGGAGAAGCAUGACCUCUCAUCCAGCCUUUCGCACAGUGACAGGAGUUGCUUAAAGCAGCCCACGGCCAGGUGAAGACACAAGAAACACCGCUAUUAAGUGUAGCCUAACUUGCUGUUGACAAGGAGGAAGAUCGUUCCUGAAGUGCGAAGUUCUGAGACAGAAGCUAAAUUAACAUCUGUGCCUAUCCUGCCGCCAACCCCUCCUGCAUGAUGAUGGAAAUGGAGCCCUCCGUGCUACCUUAUCAGGCAGAUGUAGAAAAAACAAACAACAAAAAAACCCAGACCCUCCCUUCUCAGGCAAGG